AGAUAUCAAAAUGAAAGUAGCUAUCGUCCUCCUUGUUCUCUUGCCAUUGGCUUACUGCAACCCAAUAUCUGAUCUACUCCACACAUUACAAAAGGAUAUUCAUCUUGAUGUAAUCAAGGAAAAUGUUAACAAAAUUGCUGCUCAAAUCGGAAGUGACGGUACUGAAGCUCAAUGUGAAACCGAAUGUCAUAAAAUCGCCACCCAAGCCAUCCUUGAUUCUGGCUGCGCUUUCUUCUGUAAAGGAUUUCAAUCCUUGGUUGGCCACUUCCAUCUUGGUUAAAUGAAAUAAAUAGUUGAACG